AGUAGGGAAUAUUGGACAAUGGGCGCAAGCCUGAUCCAGCCAUGCCGCGUGAGUGAAGAAGGCCCUCGGGUUGUAAAGCUCUUUUGUCCGGAAAGAAAAGCAUUCGGUUAAUACCCGAGUGUUCUGACGGUACCGGAAGAAUAAGCACCGGCUAACUUCGUGCCAGCAGCCGCGGUAAUACGAAGGGUGCAAGCGUUACUCGGAAUUACUGGGCGUAAAGCGUGCGUAGGUGGUUUGUUAAGUCUGAUGUGAAAGCCCUGGGCUCAACCUGGGAAUGGCAUUGGAUACUGGCAAGCUAGAGUGCGGUAGAGGAUAGUGGAAUUCCUGGUGUAGCAGUGAAAUGCGUAGAGAUCAGGAGGAACAUCCGUGGCGAAGGCGACUGUCUGGACCAGCACUGACACUGAGGCACGAAAGCGUGGGGAGCAAA
rnacentral:rRNA from 1 species